rnacentral:rRNA from 1 species
GACGAACGCUGGCGGCGUGCUUAACACAUGCAAGUCGAACGGUGAAGCCUUCGGGUGGAUCAGUGGCGAACGGGUGAGUAACACGUGAGCAAUCUGCCCUUGACUCUGGGAUAACUUCGGGAAACCGGAGCUAAUACCGGAUAUGACAUCUGGCCGCAUGGUCUGGGUGUGGAAAGAUUUAUCGGUCAAGGAUGAGCUCGCGGCCUACCAGCUUGUUGGUGGGGUAANGGCCCACCAAGGCGACGACGGGUAGCCGGCCUGAGAGGGCGACCGGCCACACUGGGACUGAGACACGGCCCAGACUCCUACGGGAGGCAGCAGUGGGGAAUAUUGCGCAAUGGGCGGAAGCCUGACGCAGCGACGCCGCGUGAGGGAUGAAGGCCU